rnacentral:rRNA from 1 species
UACGUAGGGUGCAAGCGUUAAUCGGAAUUACUGGGCGUAAAGCGUGCGCAGGCGGUUAUGUAAGACAGAUGUGAAAUGCCCGGGCUUAACCUGGGAACUGCAUUUGUGACUGCAUGGCUAGAGUUUGGCAGAGGGGGGUAGAAUUCCACGUGUAGCAGUGAAAUGCGUAGAUAUGUGGAGGAACACCGAUGGCGAAGGCAGCCCCCCUGGGUCAAGACUGACGCUCAUGCACGAAAGGCGUGGGGAGCAAACGAG